CACACACACACACAGCAGUGUGUGUAUGUGUGUAUAUAUGUGUAUGUGUAUAUAUAUACAUAUAUAUAUAUACACAUAUAUAUAUACACAUACAUACAUAUAUAUAUGCGGCAUGUGCUUGUGCUUU